AAUUCAGUCCCCAUUUGUUGGAUCGAACACUUCGGUUCUGCCCGUGUCUGCUUGCUUGGUUCAUCUGGGCAUGAUCAAGAGGAGGAAACUGAGGCUCAGAGAGGGUUAGUGACUCAAGCAGAGUCACACCCCGUGGAAACCCUCCCAGGCCCAAGGACCCCUAGUGUCUGGCCACUCACCCACUGCAGCCUUCAGCUGGGACAGCUCCUGGAAGAUCUCCUCCUGCUUGGACUGCUCCUGCCUCUGGGAGCUGGGGUUCUUGGAACCUGGGACAAGGAAAGAUAUUGAAAUUAUUAAACACCUGCUCUGUGCCACGCCCUACACUGUGCCCCUAAGGACGCCAUUUCUGAGCACCAAAAUCUUGUUUAAACCCUUUUGUGGAUAAGGAAAACUGACACCCAGAGAAAGCAGCAGGGAAUGGACAGGAGAGCCUGUCCUCCCCUCCCCUGUCCUGGAGAUGGGAGUAGUCAUAGGGAAAGGCCUCUGGAAACCCAAAGGGACAGAAGGCCAGCUAUCAGCCCCUCGUUCCUCUUGGACCUGGCCACCCCCAGCUGUGUCUACAGCAGAAGAACCAGGCCUAGGAGGCCAGGACUCUCAGAGCCCGCUGCUGACCUUGGACAAGGAUGGCCACCAGGAGCCCAGUGAAGAGUGUGAAGAAGAGGAGCAGCAGCACCAGGGGCGCGUGGCCCAGACACCCUGCAGGAGAAAACAUUGCUUGGUUUCAGCAUGCCAGUGGCCAUGCCUCAGCCUGGCCCAGGGAAAGCCCGGCCCCAGCCCCAUCUCCCCACGUGGCAGGAGUCAAGGUCCCAGCCUCCACCCACCCAGGACCUAGGAGUCUAGGAACCCAGUCCUUACUUCCCAGGUCCCAGGAGUGAAGGCCCCAGCCCCCACCUCCCCAGGACCCAGGAACCCAGGACCCAGCCCCCACCUCCUUAGGAUGCAGGAGUCCAGGACCCUGCUCCCACCUCCCCAGGAUUCAGGAGUCCAGACCCCAGCCUCUACUUCCCUAGGACCCAGGAGUCCAAGCCCCCAGGCCCCACCUCUCCAAGACCCAGGAACCCAGGCCCAUAACCCCUAUCUCCUCAGGACCUCGAAACCCAGGUCCCAGCCUCCACCUCCUCAAGUCUCAGUAGUCCAGACCCCAGCCCCUGCCUCCGUAGGACCCAGGAGUCCAGGCUCCAGCCCCCACCACCCCAGGUCCCAGGAAUCUAGGCCUCAGCCCCCACCUCUCCAAGACCCAGCCUCUACUUACUUCCUUAUGUCCUAGGAGUCCAGGCCCUAGUCACCAGCUCCCCAGGACCCAGGAACCCAGCCUCCACCUCCCCAGGUUCCAGGAGUCCAGGCUCCAGCCACCUGCUCCCCAGGACCCAAGAGUCUGGGAGGCUCUGUUCCCUCCUCCCUUCCAGCUAACCCUUCUCUACCUGCUAAGCUCUUGUAGCCUCGAGUCUGUCGGAAUCCAAAGUUUCUCGGAAAAAAAUUCAUACCGCUAGUUAUCAGCUCUUCCUCUUCUAAAUGGAUAAACACGAACUCAGAGCCUGGGCAGGCUGAGGCCAGGGCUGGCCAUCCCCUUCCCCACCCCAGGAUCCCAGAGCACCCCAGGAUCCCAGAGCCCCAGCUCAGCCUCACCCCGGAGGCCCAGCGGCUGCGCCCUUGGUUCCUUGUAGUCACUCAUGUUUCCCCCACUGUCCCUCAAUGUCCAGAACUUCUGGGGACCACGAUGCUUAUUUCCCACCCCGUGAUUCUCACUCCCUAAAUCUCUUCCUACUGGGGAAGAAAAACAGGAAACUGGGUAGGGACAUAACACCCGAAAGGCUAGUGGGAGGGGUCAGAGCAUGAGAUGGCCCUGACCUUGCAGGAAUUUCAAGGAGCUGGUGAGGGAUGGUCUGAGGUUGACAGGGAGAAGGAUUCGUCCACUCCUUCCAUAGCUGAGCUGUGCGAUGCUUUUAAUGAAAUCCAGUACGUUCUAAUGAAAAGUGACUCUGCUUUACUCCUCCACCUAGGGCAGGGAUGGGCAGGCAGGACCCCUAGUUCCCGGAACCACCAGCCUCCCUGACCCCCAGGCUUUGUUGCUGUGGGCUGCUGAUGUCCUCUUUUAUGAGAAUUUUUGCUGACUUCGGGAGUUGGGGCUGAAUCAGAAUUGCUUGUUUAUUUAAUGCCUAUGGUAGUCAAGCAUUUUUCUAGUAAGUUUAUCAACUCAUUCACUUGAAUCUUCCUACCCUAUGGUAGAUCAUAUGAUUUCCGUUUUGUAGAUGGGGGAUACUAAAGCAUGGUGAGGUUAUGUAACUGGCCCAAGGUCACACAGCUGGUAAAUGGGACAUCUGGGAUUUGAACCCAGUCUGCUCAAUGACAGUCAAAGACAAUUCACCAAAAGACAGUUAAAUGGCAUCAAGGAGGAAAUAAAAUAUUCAUAAUGGCUUUGAA